rnacentral:rRNA from 1 species
ACUGCGUGAAGUCGGAAUCGCUAGUAAUCGCGGAUCAGCAUGUCGCGGUGAAUACGUUCCCGGGUCUUGUACACACCGCCCGUCACACCAUGGGAGUGGGUUUUACCAGAAGUAGUUAGCCUAACCGCAAGGGGGGCGAUUACCACGGUAGGAUUCAUGACUGGGGUGAAGUCGUAACAAGGUAGCCGUAUCGGAAGGUGCGGCUGGAUCACCUCCUUUC